UACGUAGGGUGCGAGCGUUAAUCGGAAUUACUGGGCGUAAAGUGUGCGCAGGCGGCCGAGCAAGUCGAGUGUGAAAGCCCCGAGCUUAACUUGGGAACUGCGCUCGAAACUACUUGGCUAGAGUGUGGCAGAGGGAGGUGGAAUUCCACGUGUAGCGGUGAAAUGCGUAGAGAUGUGGAGGAACACCGAUGGCGAAGGCAGCCUCCUGGGCCAACACGGACGCUCAUGCACGAAAGCGUGGGGAGCAAACAGG
rnacentral:rRNA from 1 species